GGGAAGCCGGUGCGAAUCCGGCGCUGACCCGCAACCGUGAGCCGUCCCCGCCCGGGGAGGGCCCAGCCGGAGCACC
rnacentral:ncRNA from 2 species